rnacentral:rRNA from 1 species
UACGUAGGGGGCAAGCGUUGUCCGGAUUUACUGGGCUUAAAGAGCGUGUAGGCGGCCAAACAGGUCCGUUGUGAAAACUGGAGGCUCAACUUCCAGACGGCGACGGAAACCGUGUGGCUAGAGUCCGGAAGAGGAGAGUGGAAUUCCUGGUGUAGCGGUGAAAUGCGCAGAUAUCAGGAAGAACACCAAUGGCGAAGGCAGCUCUCUGGGACGGUACUGACGCUGAGACGCGAAAGCGUGGGGAGCGAACAGG